UGCCAGCCGCCGCGGUAAUACGGAGGGGGCGAGCGUUAUUCGGAAUUAUUGGGCGUAAAGGGCGCGUAGGCGGCCUGACAAGUCAGGGGUGAAAGCCCUCGGCUCAACCGAGGAACUGCCUCUGAAACUGUCAGGCUUGAGGCCGGGAGAGGGUGGCGGAAUUCCCAGUGUAGCGGUGAAAUGCGUAGAUAUUGGGAAGAACACCAGUGGCGAAGGCGGCUAACUGGCUCGGUACUGACGCUGAGAUGCGAAAGCGUGGGGAGCAAACAGGAUUAGAUA
rnacentral:rRNA from 1 species